rnacentral:rRNA from 1 species
CCCUCUUCUUCCCUCUUUUUUCUUCCUUCUUUUUCUUCCCUCUCCCUUCUCCUGCCUUGCAAGUCAGUUGUGAAAGCCUUCCGCUUAACGGAAGAACGGCAUCUGAUACUACAGGGCUUGAGUACGGGAGGGGAGAGUGGAACUUCUGGUGGAGCGGUGAAAUGCGUAGAUAUCAGAAGGAACGCCGGCGGCGAAAGCGACUCUCUGGUCCGAAACUGACGCUGAGUGUGCGAAAGCUAGGGGAGCAAACGG